rnacentral:misc_RNA from 1 species
AAGUCGUAACAAGGUUUCCGUAGGUGAACCUGCGGAAGGAUCAUUACCACAUACAAAAUCUUACAAACCCACAAGUGUGAAGUUGUGAUGAGGAACUUUCUUCAUUUUUUUUUUGAACCCCUUUUGAACUUUUUACCAAGAGAAUAAGCAAGACUAAAAAUGAGAAAAGAGAAAACAACUUUUAACGGUGGAUCUCUUGGCUCGU